CCUACGGGAGGCAGCAGUGAGGAAUAUUGGACAAUGGGCGCAAGCCUGAUCCAGCCAUGCCGCGUGCAGGAAGAAGCAUCUAUGGUGUGUAAACUGCUUUUGUACGGGAAGAAACACUCCUUCGUGAAGGAGCUUGACGGUACCGUAAGAAUAAGGAUCGGCUAACUCCGUGCCAGCAGCCGCGGUAAUACGGAGGAUCCAAGCGUUAUCCGGAAUCAUUGGGUUUAAAGGGUCCGUAGGCGGUUUAAAUAAGUCAGUGGUGAAAUCUGGUCGCUUAACGAUCAAACGGCCAUUGAUACUGUUAGACUUGAAUUAUUUGGAAGUAACUAGAAUAUGUAGUGUAGCGGUGAAAUGCUUAGAUAUUACAUGGAAUACCAAUUGCGAAGGCAGGUUACUACAAAUGGAUUGACGCUGAUGGACGAAAGCGUGGGGAGCGAACAGGAUUAGAUACCCUGGUAGUCCACGCCGUAAACGAUGGAUACUAGCUGUUGGGAGUAAUCUCAGUGGCUAAGCGAAAGUGAUAAGUAUCCCACCUGGGGAGUACGAACGCAAGUUUGAAACUUAAAUGAAUUGACCGGNGNGAGAGAGCGAGACGACGACGAGGGAGGAGG
rnacentral:rRNA from 1 species